GACGAGGGGUCCUAGCGUUGUUCGGAAUCAUUGGGCGUAAAGCGCAUGUAGGCGGCCUUAUAAGUCGGAUGUGAAAUCCCUCGGCUUAACCCGGAGGAACUGCCUGUCAGACUGGAAGGCUUGAGACCGGGAGAGGUGAGUGGAAUUCCCAGUGUAGCGGUGAAAUGCGUAGAUAUUGGGAGGAACACCAGUGGCGAAGGCGGCUCACUGGACCGGAACUGACGCUGAGGCGCGAAAGCGUGGGGAGCAAACAGG
rnacentral:rRNA from 1 species